AUUGAACGCUGGCGGCAUGCUUUACACAUGCCAGUCGAACGGUAACAGGCCGCAAGGUGCUGACGAGUGGCGAACGGGUGAGUAAUGCAUCGGAACGUGCCCAGUCGUGGGGGAUAACUACUCGAAAGAGUAGCUAAUACUGCAUACGAUCUAUGGAUGAAAGCGGGGGACCGUAAGGCCUCGCGCGAUUGGAGCGGCCGAUGUCAGAUUAGGUAGUUGGUGGGGUAAAGGCUCACCAAGCCAACGAUCUGUAGCUGGUCUGAGAGGACGACCAGCCACACUGGGACUGAGACACGGCCCAGACUCCUACGGGAGGCAGCAGUGGGGAAUUUUGGACAAUGGGCGCAAGCCUGAUCCAGCAAUGCCGCGUGCAGGAAGAAGGCCUUCGGGUUGUAAACUGCUUUUGUACGGAACGAAACGGCUCUGGUUAAUACCCGGGGCUAAUGACGGUACCGUAAGAAUAAGCACCGGCUAACUACGUG
rnacentral:rRNA from 1 species